GUCAGCCAUGCUGGCAUCCCUUCCCUUCUUCAGAGUGGGGGCCUUUGCCUUAUUAUUUUGGGAAUUACCACAUGUGGACACUCAAAUGUCUGCAGAUAGAUGAACGAAUGAAUGAGUAGAUGGUG